UUCGCCUUUUACUAAAGAUUUCCGUGGAGAGGAACAGUUGUGAGUGUUCAACCAAUUUUUUGAGGUCUCGAUUUUUUCGAGGCU
rnacentral:snRNA from 1 species